UUCCAGAGUUUGAUCAUGGCUCAGGACGAACGCUGGCGGCGUGCCUAAUACAUGCAAGUCGAGCGGACCGACGGGAGCUUGCUCCCUUAGNUCAGCGGCGGACGGGUGAGUAACACGUGGGUAACCUNCCUGUAAGACUGGGAUAANUCCGGGAAACCGGGGCUAAUACCGGAUGCUUGAUUGAACCGCAUGGUUCAAUCAUAAAACCUGGCUUUAGCUACCACUUACAGAUGGACCCGCGGCGCAUUAGCUAGUUGGUGAGGUAACGGCUCACCAAGGCGAC
rnacentral:rRNA from 1 species